rnacentral:rRNA from 1 species
AACGAACGCUGGCGGCAUGCCUAACACAUGCAAGUCGAACGAGACCUUCGGGUCUAGUGGCGCACGGGUGCGUAACGCGUGGGAACCUGCCCUUAGGUUCGGAAUAACUCCCCGAAAGGGGUGCUAAUACCGGAUAAUGUCUUAGGCCCAAAGAUUUCUCGCCUUUGGAUGGGCCCGCGUUGGAUUAGCUAGUUGGUAGGGUAAAAGCCUACCAAGGCGACGAUCCAUAGCUGGUCUGAGAGGAUGAUCAGCCACACUGGGACUGAGACACGGCCCAGACUCCUACGGGAGGCAGCAGUGGGGAAUAUUGGACAAUGGGCGAAAGCCUGAUCCAGCAAUGCCGCGUGAGUGAUGAAGGCCUUAGGGUUGUAAAGCUCUUUUACCCGGGAUGAUAAUGACAGUACCGAGAGAAUAAGCUCCGGCUAACUCCGUG